CCGUAUUCACCAAUGUACGUAAGUCUCAAAUCUUAGACUCAGCUCCAGUUUCUGACUCAGACUCAGACUCAGCCUUACAAAACUUAAUUCACGAAACAUAAAAUGGUUAGUUUUAGACUCAGACUCAGUAAGAUAAGUCUCAAAUGCUAAGUCUACAAUGUUUAGACUUACGCUAUACAAUCAUGACGUAACGUCGUUUGAGCGUUUACUUUACAAAAUGGCCGCCGCACGAGCUCCUUGCGUAAUAAUAAUAUUAUAUUUGAAAGAGUGUAUCUAGAUCGUACCAACCCUUUGGAGAUUUAUAGGGAUAUUGAACUUUACAAACGGUAUCGUUUAACCCGACCGGGAAUCGUAUUUCUUUGCAAUAUUUGCAAGGAAUAGUUGAGCCGCAAUACGAUGCGGAUUCUGCAAGUUCCGGUCGCCCUGGCAGUGUGUACUUUCCCGAGCAACGUGGCAAAAAUCAUAAAAAAGCGGCAUUUAAAGUUAUGGUAGCCAGAACUAGGUAGACCUGUGCACAGGUCAAUAAUAUUUUGACAGCUAGAGAGUUGAAGUUGUCAAAUUUCCAGCUGGUACGACGCCGUUCGUGCAAAACAAGAACUUGGUGCGAUCGCUGAUACGUGAGUCAUUUGCGAUGUGUGCAUUUUGCAAUUGUUCUUAUUUAUUGUAAACAACUGUCAAAUUCAUAUUUGUCCGCGUUUGUUUGUUGUCUUUUGUGAAAAUAAUCUCCAAACUUAAUGAACGUGAACAUGCACUAAUUUUAUGGAUAAUACUUGUUGUUUGAAUGAAAAAGUAAUAACAUAUAAUUUGCAUGUAUCAUAAACUAUAAUAAUGGAUAUUCUCUAAAAAGGGAAACCUAUUAGAAAACGUUUACAAGACAUUUACUAUGCAUAAAUUUUGAUUUCAUUACUAUUACAAAUCUAUUUAUAGAUGUAGGAAUUUACCUAUAGAUAUGUAUAUGCCGAAAAAAGUUACACUGCCAUGACGCAGUUGGUAGCGCAUCGGUGCUCGUGAUUAUAUUUGACCGACUAGUCAGUGGUUCGAAAUUACAUCGGAGACUUUUUUUUUCUCAACAUUUUCAAAAUAAAUUAUGACGAUUAUUUAGUUAUUUUUAAAUUCUUGAUCUUAAAUGUAAUGUUAAUUAAUGUUUAUUAAUUUUAAAAAAGGUGCUAUAAUUAAUGUGCAAAUUAUACACCCUGUUUAGAAGAUAUAGGGUACACCUGAAUCCAUAUGUGCAUCUGUCCUUGUGUCUGUCUAUGUUGUAAUUGAGUUCCAAUACAAAAUGUAUUUUUGCGACAAAUGCUGUAGAAUAUGCAUUUGUUGAUGGCAAGUGCAUUGUUGUAAUGCACUUUAUUUGUAAAUUAAUAAAACACUCAACAACAGGAAUAAUAUUUUAUUCUCAAAUGCACAUAUUAUUGCAUUUUCAAUCAAUAGUAAAACGAUGACAUUAAAUUUGAUUAUCAAGUUAAGACACAUCAGCAUAUUGCAUCACUUCUGACAUAAGGCAGAACUUUCAUUCAAUAUAAUGCACAUAAAUGCACCGAUCAUAAUCCAUUUAUAUCAAUAUCUAUUUACUUAUUAAUAUUGUAAUUUUUACAAAAAAUGGGUCAAUUUUAAAUGAUCAACUUUCAGGUUUUACAAGUACUUUGGGGUGCAUCGAUUGGACGCAUGUGCAUAUCAAGAAGCCAGUAAACCAUGUAGAAGGCUACAUAUGGCGAAAGGGCGUUCCCACCAUCAACGUUCAGGCUGUGUAUGAUGCCAGCUACAGAAUAACGAGCUUCACUCAAGUUCACUGCCAGUUGGCCAGGGCGAAAGCAUGAUGCCAGGAUUUGUUGAUGUCUAAUUUCAAAUUCACAUAACUGUAUCUACCAUUAUUCUGGAAUUUCAUUCAGUUAAUUGAAUGAAGAAUUUUAUUAUUAUCAAUGAUGGAUAUCUUGUAAGCAAAUAAUAUCAAGAAGUGUCCCAAGACACCGCAUUCAACUAAUAUUCCUCUUUGAAUGUAGAAUGUAUUUUAUAUGUCAGUAACAUAAUACAAUGACCAAUGUAAUAUUUAACCUACAUUUCUUAAAGCACACAAAUAUUGACUGGAAUUUUAUAAGUACAAAAAGGGAUAGAAUCAUAUUUUUAUCAUAGAAAUAAUAGUAUGCCCCUUUUUGAAUAAAAAAAAAAUCUUAUUAUUUUGUGUGCAACUGCCCCAUAACUAUUAUUUCUAAUAUAGACUAUCUAUUUUAGAAAUAAUAGAGUUAUGAAGUAGUUGCACAAAAAAUAAUAAGAUCCUUUUAAUUACAAAAAGGCGAAUAAAUCUACUACUAGUAUAUUACAUGUCAGAGUUAUAGCACUUGGUCACGUAUUGACACUAAACACAUCUUUUUCUCCAAAUGUAUUAUUUCAAUUUCUACAGUCAACUUUUUUAUUUCUUAUUCUAAUUUUUCUUAGUUAUUUCCCAUCGGUUUCUCUGUAAGUUUUGUUAAGGUAUCGGCUUGUGAUCUCUUGUCGUUCUUCUUUGUGAGCGCUGCAAAAAUGGAUAAAAAGUGUGAUUUGUAUAAA